rnacentral:rRNA from 1 species
GAACCGUGCGAACGUUGUUCGGAAUCACUGGGCUUAAAGGGCGCGUAGGCGGGCUACCAAGUCUGUGGUGAAAUCCCCCGGCUCAACCGGGGAACGGCCGUGGAUACUGGGAGCCUCGAGGGAGAUAGGGGCAGGCGGAACUGAUGGUGGAGCGGUGAAAUGCGUUGAUAUCAUCAGGAACUCCGGUGGCGAAGGCGGCCUGCUGGAUCUCAUCUGACGCUGAGGCGCGAAAGCCAGGGGAGCAAACGGGAUUAGAUACCCCGGUAGUCCUGGCCCUAAACGAUGAGUACUAGGUAGUAGGCCAGACAUGGGCUUACUGCCGGAGCAAAAGUGCUAAGUACUCCGCCUGGGGAGUAUGGUCGCAAGGCUGAA